CCAAGCAGAAGGCAGGGAAGGGCUCAGCCCGAGAAGGGCUCAGCCUGAGGUCACUGGCUUUCUAGAUGGGAGGAGGAGGCCACAAGUCAAGGAAUGUGGGUGGCCCCUAGAUGCUGGAAGAGAUGAAUGGAUUCUCCACCGAGAGUCUCCAGGAGGAACACAGUGCGGCUGACAUCUUGAUUUUAGCCUGCUAGGCCCUUCCAUCUCUAAUCCUGAGGCCACCGGCUGGGGCACUGCACACAUGAAACUUAGCUUAGCCCUCAGAAGAUGAAGGAUGGGUUCCUGCCACCGUGACCCCAUUUUUCAGGUACCAGGGCUUGAUGUGGGUGUGACACAUCAGGUCGUCGAAAGCCUCCAGGCCCUCCAUCACACGCAGCA